UCUAAUAUGGCAGAAAAGUGCAAUGGGUUUAAGCCCCAUAUAUAAAGGUCCACCUUUUGUUAGAA
rnacentral:tRNA from 1 species